CGGAGAGCGCCGCGGCUCUGGGUUGUCCCGCGCGGGCCCUCGGAGGGAGCGGGGUUCCCCAAACGAACCCUGCUGGGGCUGCGCUGGCGCCGCGUCGCCACCAGAGCGCCUUCGGGAAGGAAGGGCCCACGCGGCCACCGCGGCCUCCGCCUGAGUUCGGUUAAAACUUCUCCCUGCGCCGCCACCCCCUUCGCUCCCGGGGGGCGCGGGCCUCGAGGCGCACGAGACCGCGAUGGGGAUUAGGGGCGCAGGAUGCCUGACGCGGCUCCAGGGCCUCUCUCGGCCAUAGUGGCCUGGAGGGCAAGGAAAAGGAGACACGGGCUGGCUUUCAGGACGGUCACACUCGAAAGGGGACAGCACCCGAAAAGCCUCGCCAGUAUUGACUAUGUAAAUGCAGCGACUCCCCCUGCAAGGCCUAGGUCAAGCGCCCCUUUCCCGUGAAAACCGUGCUGGCCCUCACCCUAGCCUUCAAGCCUCCCGUCACCCCGGGAGGGCCUUCAGCUGCCUCGGUACAGGGUCUGCAGCCGGAAGCUCCUGCUGGGGAAGGAUGAGAGCAGCAACCCAGUCUUCCUGGGGUUUUCAAUCAAGGAAUUCCAUCAAGGGACGAAUGGAGAAACUGAGGCCCAGAGAGAAGAGGCGUCUUGCCCAAGCGUGUUCAGCGUGUGAGGUGUUGAGGCUGGGUAACCAGAACCCGGGGUCUUUUCGCCACAUUCUUAGAGCAGGUAAUACCCAUUUAUCCGGUGUUCCAGCAUAUGGGAUUUCUAUUUACAGACUGGCUGUUAGAGAACAAAGAAGACUCCAGGUUCAAAAGUCGGGAUAAGAAGAUCACAGUAAAACUUUCCUAUAUAACAAGGCAGCCCACUCCCACCCAGCAUGUGCUUUUCCCUGGAACAUGAACACGUUAUCUCUUUAAUGUGUCUUCUUUCUCUUUUUCUUUAAUAUACUUUACUACUUAUUUCUACUGGCCUCUCUCAUCUCUAAAUUCUUUCCGCGGCGAGAGUCCUGAACUUGGGACAGGGUUCUGCCUGGCACUGCUGUCAGGAGGUACUAGUUACACUAUAAACAUUGGUGUACUAGUAUAUGUUUGAGACCCUGUUUUCACUCCCUUGGGAAUAUAUCUACGAGUGGAAUUGCCUGGUCAUAAGAUAAUUCUAUAGUUAACUUUUUGAGGACCCGCCAUUUGCUUUCCCCAGUGGUCGCCCCAUUUUACCUUCCCACUGACAAUGCAUUAGAGUUCCAAAUUUUCCACAUCCUCUCCAGAACUUAUUUUUUCUUUUAAAUAAUAGCCAUAUUGUGCAUGUGACAUGAUAUCUCAUU